AACGAACGCUGGCGGCAUGCCUAACACAUGCAAGUCGAACGAUUGCCUUCGGGUGAUAGUGGCGCACGGGUGCGUAACGCGGGGGAAUCAGCCCUUAGGUUCGGAAUAUCAGCUGGAAACGGCUGCUAAGACCGGAUGAUAUCGCGAGAUCAAAGAUUUAUCGCCUGAGGUUGUACCCGCGUUGGAUUGUGUAGUUGGUAGGGUAAGGGGCUACCAAGCCGACGUACCAUAGCUGGUCUGUGAGGAUGAUCCGACACACCGGUGCUGAGACACGGCCCAGACUCCUACGGGAGGCAGCAGUGGGGAAUAUUGGACCAUGGGCUCAAGCCUGAUCCAGCAAUGCCGCGUGAGUGAUGUAGGCCCUAGGGUUGUAAAGCUCUUUUACCCGGGAAGAUAAUGACUGUACCGGGAGAAUAAGCCCCGGCUAACUCCGUG
rnacentral:rRNA from 1 species